rnacentral:rRNA from 1 species
UACAGAGGCCCCAAGCAUUACCCGGAAUCACUGGGCGUAAAGGGUGUCUAGGCGGCCAUAUUAGUCUCUCGUUAAAUCUGUGGGCUCAACCUGCAGUCUGCGAGGGAAACGGUAUGGCUCGAGGGCGUGAGAGGUGCACGGAACUCAUGGUGGAGGGGUGAAAUCCGUUGAUAUCAUGGGGAACACCAAAGGCGAAGGCAGUGCACUGGUACGUUCCUGACGCUCAAACACGAAAGCCAGGGUAGCGAACGGG